AACGAACGCUGGCGGCAUGCCUAACACAUGCAAGUCGAACGAGACCUUCGGGUCUAGUGGCGCACGGGUGCGUAACGCGUGGGAACCUGCCCUUAGGUUCGGAAUAACUCCCCGAAAGGGGUGCUAAUACCGGAUAAUGUCUUCGGACCAAAGAUUUAUCGCCUUUGGAUGGGCCCGCGUUGGAUUAGCUAGUUGGUAGGGUAAAAGCCUACCAAGGCGACGAUCCAUAGCUGGUCUGAGAGGAUGAUCAGCCACACUGGGACUGAGACACGGCCCAGACUCCUACGGGAAGCAGCAGUGGGGAAUAUUGGACAAUGGGCGAAAGCCUGAUCCAGCUAGGCCGCGUGAGUGAUGAAGGCCUUAGGGUUGUAAAGCUCUUUUACCCGGGAUGAUAAUGACAGUACCGGGAGAAUAAGCUCCGGCUAACUCCGUG
rnacentral:rRNA from 1 species